UACGGGGGGGGCUAGCGUUGUUCGGAAUUACUGGGCGUAAAGGGCGCGUAGGCGGCCUACUAAGUCGGACGUGAAAUCCCUCGGCUCAACCGGGGAACUGCGUCCGAUACUGGUGGGCUCGAAUCCGGGAGAGGGAUGUGGAAUUCCAGGUGUAGCGGUGAAAUGCGUAGAUAUCAGGAGGAACACCGGUGGCGAAGGCGCCACUCUGGGCCGGUACUGACGCUGAGGAGCGAAAGCGUGGGGAGCGAACAGG
rnacentral:rRNA from 1 species